AAAUAAGAAGCUAAUAUUAGCAUUUAGUUUCGACCUAAAAAUUUGAAUUUGAAUAUUCCUUAUUUA
rnacentral:tRNA from 1 species